GGGUGGUCUAGUGGUCAGGACGUUAGCCGCGUAAGCUGAAGACGCGGGUUCGAUUCCCGCCUCGGCCACCGGUGGAUUUGGUCACAUUUUCUUUACCCUUUUCUGUAUUAAGAGGCUGUCAAUACCUAAAGCGCGCACACUAUCUAUUUGUAUCGGAGUAAAUGAGAUAGCACUAUCACUGUUAGUCGGCCAGGGCAAGGGAAUAAUAAGAAACCUAAUUUAAAUAACAAAAAAAAUCGUUAGCGGUGUAGGUAUAAAUGUUUUAUAAUUUUGAUUUUAAUUGUAGACCCAUAAGUCAAAAAAAUAAAGAUAUAGAACCGUUUAA